GACGAACGCUGGCGGCGUGCUUAACACAUGCAAGUCGAACGGAAAGGCCCUGCUUUUGUGGGGUGCUCGAGUGGCGAACGGGUGAGUAGCACGUGAGUAACCUGCCCUUGACUUUGGGAUAACUUCAGGAAACUGGGGCUAAUACCGGAUAGGAGCUCCUGCUGCAUGGUGGGGGUUGGAAAGUUUCGGCGGUUGGGGAUGGACUCGCGGCUUAUCAGCUUGUUGGUGGGGUAGUGGCUUACCAAGGCUUUGACGGGUAGCCGGCCUGAGAGGGUGACCGGCCACAUUGGGACUGAGAUACGGCCCAGACUCCUACGGGAGGCAGCAGUGGGGAAUAUUGCACAAUGGGCGGAAGCCUGAUGCAGCAACGCCGCGUGCGGGAUGACGGCCUUCGGGUUGUAAACCGCUUUCGCCUGUGACGAAGCGUGAGUGACGGUAAUGGGUAAAGAAGCACCGGCUAACUACGUGCCAGCAGCCGCGGUGAUACGUAGGGUGCGAGCGUUGUCCGGAUUUAUUGGGCGUAAAGGGCUCGUAGGUGGUUGAUCGCGUCGGAAGUGUAAUCUUGGGGCUUAACCCUGAGCGUGCUUUCGAUACGGGUUGACUUGAGGAAGGUAGGGGAGAAUGGAAUUCCUGGUGGAGCGGUGGAAUGCGCAGAUAUCAGGAGGAACACCAGUGGCGAAGGCGGUUCUCUGGGCCUUUCCUGACGCUGAGGAGCGAAAGCGUGGGGAGCGAACAGGCUUAGAUACCCUGGUAGUCCACGCUGUAAACGGUGGGUACUAGGUGUGGGGUCCAUUCCACGGGUUCCGUGCCGUAGCUAACGCUUUAAGUACCCCGCCUGGGGAGUACGGCCGCAAGGCUAAAACUCAAAGGAAUUGACGGGGCCCCGCACAAGCGGCGGAGCAUGCGGAUUAAUUCGAUGCAACGCGUAGAACCUUACCUGGGUUUGACAUGGAUCGGGAGUGCUCAGAGAUGGGUGUGCCUCUUUUGGGGUCGGUUCACAGGUGGUGCAUGGCUGUCGUCAGCUCGUGUCGUGAGAUGUUGGGUUAAGUCCCGCAACGAGCGCAACCCUUGUUCACUGUUGCCAGCACGUUAUGGUGGGGACUCAGUGGAGACCGCCGGGGUCAACUCGGAGGAAGGUGGGGAUGACGUCAAGUCAUCAUGCCCCUUAUGUCCAGGGCUUCACGCAUGCUACAAUGGCUGGUACAGAGAGUGGCGAGUCUGUGAGGGUGAGCGAAUCUCGGAAAGCCGGUCUCAGUUCGGAUUGGGGUCUGCAACUCGACCUCAUGAAGUCGGAGUCGCUAGUAAUCGCAGAUCAGCAACGCUGCGGUGAAUACGUUCCCGGGGCU
rnacentral:rRNA from 1 species